rnacentral:rRNA from 1 species
AUGAACGCUGGCGGCGUGCCUAAUACAUGCAAGUCGAGCGAACAGACGAGGAGCUUGCUCCUCUGACGUUAGCGGCGGACGGGUGAGUAACACGUGGAUAACCUACCUAUAAGACUGGGAUAACUUCGGGAAACCGGAGCUAAUACCGGAUAAUAUAUUGAACCGCAUGGUUCAAUAGUGAAAGACGGUUUUGCUGUCACUUAUAGAUGGAUCCGCGCCGCAUUAGCUAGUUGGUAAGGUAACGGCUUACCAAGGCGACGAUGCGUAGCCGACCUGAGAGGGUGAUCGGCCACACUGGAACUGAGACACGGUCCAGACUCCUACGGGUGGCAGCAGUAGGGAAUCUUCCGCAAUGGGCGAAAGCCUGACGGAGCAACGCCGCGUGAGUGAUGAAGGUCUUCGGAUCGUAAAACUCUGUUAUUAGGGAAGAACAAAUGUGUAAGUAACUAUGCACGUCUUGACGGUACCUAAUCAGAAAGCCACGGCUAACUACGUG